rnacentral:lncRNA from 10 species
AAUACAUGCUGCAACACCACAGUUUAUCAUUGGACCUGGAGGGGUGGUGAACCUAACAGGUCUGGUAUCUUCAGAAAAUUCAUCCAAGGCAACAGAUGAAACGGGUGUAUCUGCUGUUCAGUUUGGAAACUCUUCUACAUCAGUAUUAGCUACAUUAGCUGCCUUAGCUGAAGCAUCUGCUCCAUUGUCCAAUUCUUCAGAAACUCCAGUAGUGGCCACAGAAGAAGUAGUUACUGCAGAAUCUGUGGAUGGUGCCAUUCAGCAAGUAGUUAGUUCAGGGGGUCAGCAAGUCAUCACAAUAGUUACAGAUGGAAUUCAGCUUGGAAAUUUGCACUCUAUUCCAACCAGUGGAAUUGGUCAGCCCAUCAUUGUGACCAUGCCAGAUGGACAACAAGUAUUAACAGUACCAGCAACAGACAUUGCUGAAGAAACUGUUAUAAGUGAAGAACCACCAGCUAAGAGACAAUGUAUCGAAAUAAUUGAAAACCGGGUGGAAUCUGCAGAAAUAGAAAGAGGGUGUCUUGCUAUGUUGCCCAGGCUGGUCUUGGACUCCUGGCCUCAAGUGAUCCUCCCACCUCAGCCUCCUGAAGAGUUGAGAUUACUGGCAUAAGUCACCAUAUCCAGGAGAGAGAAGCUCUUCAGAAACAGCUGGAUGAAGCAAAUCGAGAAGCACAAAAAUAUCGACAGCAGCUCCUAAAGAAAGAACAGGAAGCAGAGGCCUACAGACAGAAGUUGGAAGCUAUGACUCGUCUUCAGACUAAUAAAGAAGCUGUUUAAUUGAAAUGAACAUGUAGUUUGAUUUUACUUUUGGUCAAGAAAGAAUACAAUCUUGAACUGUACACAACAAAGGUACAGCCAUGGGAAUAC